ensembl:lncRNA
CAGAGCCAGAUGCCCCAGCACUAUGUCCUGUCAGCAGCCGGCAGCCCACCCUGUCUUAGCCGGGACAAGGGAGGGUGCUGUGCCCCUGGCAGGGCCAGCCUUUGGCCUUCCUUGCAGGGAUGAGGCCCUGGGAAGUCGAGCUGUUGGUGGCGCAGGGAGAGGUGUCCAGGGCAGGCGGAUAGGGCUUAAUCGAGCAGCCUGGGUGGGGUUGGGUCCUCCUGCCGGCUGCCACUCAGUGAUGGAUAUCUCUGGGUGGUCCUGUACCUCGUGCCAGGAUACACACAGUGCUCUGGGCCCACUGUCUGGGCUCACAGCCUCGUUUCCAGGGGGUUGGGUGGUGUUCUAAGCCUCAGUUUUCCCACUGUGGAGGAGAUGCUGCUGGAGGGAUGAGGAUCGUAGAGCACAGCCUGGCAGCUUCUGUGUCCACUGUCCCUGGGGAACGGGGGUGUGGGACGGGUAGGCUUCCCCAUCAGGGCUGGGCAUGCCAGGGGCACAGCACCCUCACAUGCCCACGUGGGGGGCUCUGUGGCUCUGACUCCGUGACUCUAGGGUGCUGCCUGCACUUCUCAGGGCUGGAAGCUGCCUUUCCCCACCAGCCUUUGGUUUCUAUCUCAGUCAACCCUGCCCUGGAGCACAGACCUCCCACUGAGGGAACCCUCCCCACACAGGGCCAGAGGGCAGAUAACAGCAGCCAGCCCCAGGAGAAGCAGGGAGCUAGGUGCCUCCAGCCUGAACGGUGAGAUCUGGGAGAGUUCCAGAGUCAUUCCUUAAUCCUGGAUGAGCCCCUGCAGCCUGGGUGCUACUCAGGUUCCAGCAAGACCGGGAGCAGGUGCAGGUGAGGCCCGAGUCCAGGUGGGGCCCAGGCCAGGUGAAGUCCAGGUCAGGGGAGGCUGAGGUGGAUGUGUGAGGCUUCUGCAGUUUUCUGUGGGUGCUGACCCUGCCUGGUGUCCCUGCCUCUCCUCCCAGCCCCCACGCUGUGCCUGCAAGGUGGCGGCCCCUGCACAGGAAGUGCUGGCUGUGGAGGAGCUGGGCUCUGCCUUCCUGUGCAUGGGAGUCCUUCUCGGGCUCUGGCCGGGGAGUGUGGCUGAGUUGCUUCUCUCUGGAAUUCACUGAGUGUGCUGUCCUCGAGGGUAUAUGUCCUUGCUCCAUAUCAGGCCACAGGAGCUGCCAGCAGGUACCGGCCUGCCCUGCUGCACGGUGAGCCUGCAGCGUGUCGUGGAUGCCCAGGGAGGUGAGUGCUCCACACAUCAGGCCUUUUUGUCUUCAAAGUCGUUUCUUUGGGGGAUACAUCAUCGGUGUCUCAUAUACUAAAUAUAUGUCUGUAUCAUUGUGCAAUGUCCUGUGUCAUUGCUUGUUUCUACAACCUGGGUUAAUGUUUUUACUAUUAUGAACGGUGCUGGAGUGAGAAUUUUCUAAACACAGCUGUGUGCAUUUUCCUCUUUUUGCGAUUUAGAAGUUUAACUGCUGUUUUCAAGGUACUGUAAUGUGUUUGUUCUGUUCUUGUUAGGAGACUUGCCAACCCUGUGCGUCUCAGUUCAUACCCUCUUCCUUGCCCAGUAGAAGUAACCACAACUGUGUUUCUGUGAUCACCAUUUUCUUGAUUUUCUUUGUAGUUUUUCUAGUGGAAAGUUUAUCCCUUAAGAAGAUAGUUCAUUUUGCCGGGUGUAAAUUUUAUUUAGAAGAAAUCACAUUGAAAUUAUUUUUUUGGACUUUCUUUUGUUACCCCAGUUACUCAGCCUU